rnacentral:rRNA from 1 species
GAUGAACGCUGGCGGCAGGCCUAACACAUGCAAGUCGAGCGGAGCGGCGGACGGGUGAGUAAUGCCUAGGAAUCUGCCUGAUAGUGGGGGAUAACGUCCGGAAAAGGGAGCUAAUACCGCAUACUAUCAGAUGAGUCUCGGUCUGAUUAGCUAGUUGGUGGGGUAAAGGCCUACAAAGGCGACGAUCCGUAACUGGUCUGAGAGGAUGAUCAGUCACACUGGAACUGAGACACGGUCCAGACUCCUACGGGAGGCAGCAGUGGGGAAUAUUGGACAAUGGGCGAAAGCCUGAUCCAGCCAUGCCGCGUGUGUGAAGAAGGUCUUCGGGUUGUAAAGUACUUUCAGCGAGGAGGCGUUACUCGCAGAAGAAGCACCGGCUAACUCCGUGCCAGCAGCCGCGGUAAUAC